rnacentral:rRNA from 1 species
AAUAGAUACCCAGGUAGUCCACGCCGUAAACGAUGUCGACUUGGAGGUUGUUCCCUUGAGGAGUGGCUUCCGGAGCUAACGCGUUAAGUCGACCGCCUGGGGAGUACGGCCGCAAGGUUAAAACUCAAAUGAAUUGACGGGGGCCCGCACAAGCGGUGGAGCAUGUGGUUUAAUUCGAUGCAACGCGAAGAACCUUACCUACUCUUGACAUCCACGGAACUUAGCAGAGAUGCUUUGGUGCCUUCGGGAACCGUGAGACAGGUGCUGCAUGGCUGUCGUCAGCUCGUGUUGUGAAUGUUGGGUUAAGUCCCGCAACGAGCGCAACCCUUAUCCUUUGUUGCCAGCGGUCCGGCCGGGAACUCAAAGGAGACUGCCAGUGAUAAACUGGAGGAAGGUGGGGAUGACGUACAAGUCAUCAUGGCCCUUACGAGUAGGGCUACACACGUGCUACAAUGGCGCAUACAAAGAGAAGCGACCUCGCGAGAGCAAGCGGACCUCAUAAAGUGCGUCGUAGUCCGGAUUGGAGU